UCGGAACGUGCCUAGUAGUGGGGGAUAACUACUCGAAAGAGUGGCUAAUACCGCAUGAGAUCUACGGAUGAAAGCAGGGGAUCGCAAGACCUUGUGCUACUAGAGCGGCCGAUGGCAGAUUAGGUAGUUGGUGGGAUAAAAGCUUACCAAGCCGACGAUCUGUAGCUGGUCUGAGAGGACGAUCAGCCACACUGGGACUGAGACACGGCCCAGACUCCUACGGGAGGCAGCAGUGGGGAAUUUUGGACAAUGGGCGCAAGCCUGAUCCAGCAAUGCCGCGUGCAGGAUGAAGGCCUUCGGGUUGUAAACUGCUUUUGUACGGAACGAAAAGCCCUGGGUUAAUACCCUGGGGUCAUGACGGUACCGUAAGAAUAAGCACCGGCUAACUACGUGCCAGCAGCCGCGGUAAU
rnacentral:rRNA from 1 species